GACGAACGCUGGCGGCGUGCCUAAUACAUGCAAGUCGAGCGGAUCUUCAUUAGCUUGCUUUUGAAGAUCAGCGGCGGACGGGUGAGUAACACGUGGGCAACCUGCCUGUAAGACUGGGAUAACUUCGGGAAACCGGAGCUAAUACCGGAUAAUCCUUUUCCUCUCAUGGGGAAAAGCUGAAAGACGGUUUCGGCUGUCACUUACAGAUGGGCCCGCGGCGCAUUAGCUAGUUGGUGAGGUAACGGCUCACCAAGGCGACGAUGCGUAGCCGACCUAAGAGGGUGAUCGGCCACACUGGGACUGAGACACGGCCCAGACUCCUACGGGAGGCAGCAGUAGGGAAUCUUCCGCAAUGGACGAAAGUCUGACGGAGCAACGCCGCGUGAGCGAUGAAGGCCUUCGGGUCGUAAAGCUCUGUUGUGAGGGAAGAACAGCUUCCGGAGGAAAUGCCGGAGGUUUGCCGGUACCUCACCAGAAAGCCCCGGCUAACUACGUGCCAGCCGCCGCGGUAAUAC
rnacentral:rRNA from 1 species